rnacentral:rRNA from 1 species
GAUGAACGCUGGCGGCGUGCCUAAUACAUGCAAGUCGAGCGAACAGACGAGGAGCUUGCUCCUCUGACGUUAGCGGCGGACGGGUGAGUAACACGUGGAUAACCUACCUAUAAGACUGGGAUAACUUCGGGAAACCGGAGCUAAUACCGGAUAAUAUAUUGAACCGCAUGGUUCAAUAGUGAAAGACGGUUUUGCUGUCACUUAUAGAUGGUUCCGCGCCGCAUUAGCUAGUUGGUAAGGUAACGGCUUACCAAGGCAACGAUGCGUAGCCGACCUGAGAGGGUGGUCGGCCACACUGGAACUGAGACACGGUCCAGACUCCUACGGGAGGCAGCAGUAGGGAAUCUUCCGCAAUGGGCGAAAGCCUGACGGAGCAACGCCGCGUGAGUGAUGAAGGUCUUCGGAUCGUAAAACUCUGUUAUUAGGGAAGAACAAAUGUGUAAGUAACUAUGCACGUCUUGACGGUACCUAAUCAGAAAGCCACGGCUAACUACGUG